GGAGGGGUGGCCGAGUUUGGCUGAAGGCGCUCGCCUCGAAAGCGAGUAAACGGGUAACCGUUUCGUGGGUUCGAAUCCCACCUCCUCCGCCA
rnacentral:tRNA from 1 species